GAAAGUCAAGUUUUGUCGCAGUUUGAUUCUCUGUCACAUGAUGCACUCAUGUGGGGAAGGGGCAACAUUUGGAUUACUGAGGAACUUAAACUGUUAAACUGAAGCUGGUGAGGCUGAAAGUCUUUUGGACUAAAGUGUGAAACAGAGAAGAGUUUGAGUUUGAGUUUGGCUCUGACACGUCUGCUCAGGCUGCUGAAAGUGAACAUGUAGCUGCAGAAAGAGCCGCAAGAGAAAAGAGACUUUACUGCAGAGAAAAAAUGGCUUCUAAACUGGAGGAGGACCUCACUUGUCCUGUGUGCUGUAAAAUGUUCAAGGGUCCUGUCAUUUUGACCUGCUCUCACAAUGUGUGUAAAGCCUGUCUGCAGCGGUUCUGGAUAAUUUUUCUGGAGAAAGGAAAAUGUCCCUACCGCAGGAGAAAGAGCUCAAACGAGUUCCAUACUGUACACCUGACUUUGCGCUAAGGAACUUACGUGGGACAGGAGAGGAGUUUCAGUAGGAUCGACACAGAUCAUGGAUGAUGCACAGGCUUCACUUCAGGAUGCUGGUGAACCGACCUUGGAGGGGGCCAUUGUUAGAGCCAGAGAAGAAGUCGACCUAUUUUGAUAUCAUAUUUCAGGGCUUGUACUACAUACAGGGUUGUAGCUUACUAAUAUCCUCCAAGCCCCCAGAACUAAGCUCUGCUGCAUACCUGGAUGAUGGGGCCUUCCCCACACAGCAGAGGAUUCCAAAACGGACCCGCCCUCAAGCCGCCACAUCCGCGUGACAGUCACCUCCGUUUUGGCUACGCGCACGGAACACGACCCGCCUCCGCCAGCGCGCCUUCGUGCAGCGGGUCUGCGGCGGACUCCGUGCGGAUACGCACAUCGAACGCGCCCUUUCCAGUCCUAACGGCUUCCUCAGUUUUCAAAUUUCUCGUUGAUGAAGUGGAAGACGAAACAGCGGCGUCUGAAGGCUCACUGUCAUUCACAAGUGGCCACAGUCUGGUUUUGGGGUCUACGCUUUCUCGUCCUGUCCUGCCACCCAAGUAAAGUCAUUCACAAGUGGCUUCAGUCUGCUUUGGGGGUCUAUGCUUUCUCAUCCUGUCCUGCCACCCAAGUAAAGUUAUUCACAAGUGGCUCCAGUCUGGUUUGGGGGUCUACGCUUUCUCAUCCUGUCCUGCCAUUCAAGUAAAGUUAUUCACAAGUGGCUCCAGUCUGGUUUGGAGGUCUACGCUUUCUCAUCCUGUCCUGCCAUUCAAGUAAAGUCAUUCACAAGUGGCUUCAGUCUGCUUUGGGGGUCUAUGCUUUCUCAUCCUGUCCUGCCACCCAAGUAAAGUUAUUCACAAGUGGCUCCAGUCUGGUUUGGGGGUCUACGCUUUCUCAUCCUGUCCUGCCAUUCAAGUAAAGUUAUUCACAAAUGGCUCCAGUCUGGUUUGGGGGUCUACACUUUCUCAUCCUGUCCUGCCACCCAAAUAAAGUGCUGUGAGGAAAAACACAGAAACAUGGUCAGCCAACGACGCGGUGGUCACUAAGUACGCAAUCAGGUGGUUCAACGAGGAGACCUGUCCUGCCUCCAGCCACACCAAACGGAUUAAUAGGAGAAAUAAACAUUAAACAUUGAACUAAUUGUCGUUCACCAGUUAUUCAUUUUCUGAUAUUUUAGCUGUGCAUAUAUAUAGCGCAGCAUUUCAUUGAAGUUGUAGCCUACUGGUAAUAGGUAAAAUGUUUCAUGUCUGCACCGACCUAGGCCUAUAAAGCACUAAAUUAGUUUAGAGUAGUUAGAAUUUAGAGUAGUAUAGCCAAGGCUACUUAACAGAAACAGAAUAGGCUAUAACUUAAACUUUCCAUUAAUGUAAAUGUCAAUUUCAUGUUUCCAUUGAGCCAAGUGAUUAUUCUCUACAGUAAAUUGAUGUCUUGACUUAAGUUAGACCUAUUGACAAUUGUGUUAGUUUAAAAAAUACAAGGCAAUGCAGAU